UCUUGAGGUAGUGGGUUUGAGCCCCGUGUUGGGAGUAGACAUUACUUAAAAAAAUAAGAUCUUAAAAACAAACAAACAAACAAACAAGGCACAGCUUCACCUUUUGUUCCUGCAGUGUUCACAUACGUUUGGUACAUUAACUAAAGUCAGAGGAUCAUGAAAACGGGUCUCUCUAGAGAAGCCACAUGAAGAUAAUGGACACGUGAUCGUACUGGUCCCUUCAGCUGACCUGUCAUCAGUUUUUUGAAGAAUCUGGCUGUUUUCUCUUUGCACCAAGCUCUGAACACAACAGCAGACAGUGGGAUGAGCAUAAGGAGCGCUCCACGGUGGUAAUUCCGCACUGGACCAGGGCCUGGCCUCGGAGCAGAUUAGGGCUCUUUAACCAGGGGACCGCAGGCCUCUCGACUCUUAGUGAGUUCAGCUCUCGGCCUGCUCAAGACAAAAUCAGAAAUGCGACGGUUCUGCGACCACCACAGGACAUCGAAUCAGCACUUACGAAUGAGCCUCAAGAAAGCAUGGAGCUGAGAUGGCUUUCCUGGUGACAGCUGCCCUUCAAGGAACAGAGAAGUCCUGGGACACAACUCAUCUGGAGAGUGGGAAGAGGGAAGCUCCCCAACUCGCUUAAUGAGGCCAGCAAAACAUCGAUACCCUAAGUCGGUUUAUUAUUAACCUGGCCGGUAGGAGUGAUGGCAAGGGCAUCCUAGUGUGUGAGAAAGAAAACACGCAAGCCCAUCUUGUUAUUAAUAUAUAAACACAAAAAUGUGAAACACAGUAUUGGCCAGAUCCGGCGAUGCACGGGAAAGACAACCCAUCAGGGCCAUGUUGGAUUACUCCUAGGAAUGCAAGAUGAAUGUAACCGGGGGAAAGCUGAUGAAUGUAAUUUGCUUUAUGAACAGAAUAAAAGCAAAAAUCUACUGAAAAUAAAAGCUUCCUGAAAAAAUUCACAGCCCUUCUUAUGGAAACUCUCGGGAAACCAAGAGUAGAAGCAAACUUCCUUAGUCUCAUAGAAGAUGUUUGCGAAAAACCUACGAUAAAUCGCAUACUUAACGGUGAGAUGUUGCAAACAUCCCCUUUCAGGCCAGGAAGAAGACCUUCUCGAAGACCCUUCCACCGUGAUCCCUUCUCCCAUCUCCCCGCCGCCAGGAUCACACUCCCUUCGCAAUUCUCCCAGAGCGCUUUGUCUACACCUCUAGAAGGACCGGCCACUGUCUGCCC